rnacentral:rRNA from 1 species
GACGAACGCUGGCGGCGCGCUUAACACAUGCAAGUCGAGCGAAGCGGCGGACGGGUGAGUAACACGUGAGUAACCUGCAUUAGCCAUUGGGAUAGCCUCGGGAAACCGGGAUUAAUACCAAAGUCUAAGAUGGGCUCGCGGCCUAUCAGCUUGUUGGUGGGGGGAUGGCCUACCAAGGCGGUGACGGGUAGCCGGCCGGAGAGGGCGACCGGCGACAUUGGGACGGGGCUACGGCCCAGAGGCCGACGGGAGUGGGCAAUGUGGUAUAUUGCACAAUGGGCGAAAGCCUGAUGCAGCGACGCCUCGUGGGGGAUGAAGGCUUGCGGGUUGUAAACCUCUUUCGCUAUCGAAUGGGUAGGUGGAGAAGAAGCGCCGGCUAACUACGUGCCAGCAGCCGCGGUAAUAC